ensembl:snRNA U6 U6 spliceosomal RNA
GCGUUAAUUUCGGUAGCACCUACACUAAUAUUGGGAUGAUACACAGAAGGCCGGCGUGGCCACCGCACAAGGAUGAUACACAAAGGUGUGCAGCUUUCCAUACUUUU